rnacentral:rRNA from 1 species
GUGAGGAAUUUUCCGCAAUGGGCGAAAGCCUGACGGAGCAAUGCCGCGUGAAGGAUGAAGGCCUAUGGGUUGUAAACUUCUUUUCUUAGAGAAGAAUAUUGACGGUAUCUGAGGAAUAAGCAUCGGCUAACUCUGUGCCAGCAGCCGCGGUAAUACGAAGGUCCCAAGCGUUGUUCGGAAUCACUGGGCGUAAAGGGAGCGUAGGCUGCGCGGUAAGUCAGGUGUGAAAUCCCGGGGCUCAACCCCGGAACUGCACCCGAUACUGCCGUGCUAGAGGGUUGGAGAGGUGACUGGAAUUCUCGGUGUAGCAGUGAAAUGCGUGGAUAUCGAGAGGAACACUCGUGGCGAAGGCGAGUCACUGGACAACAUCUGACGCUGAGGCUAGAAGGCCAGGGGAGCAAAAGGGAUUAGAAACCCCAGUAGUCC